CCCUGGGGUUCGGGAAGGAGACCUUGACUCGGAAACUUAGCUUAAAGCAGCAAGACAGCAUGAGUGGCACCAUGUGGAAGUGGCUCCCAGAAUGCUUCAGUUCUGGGGUUUUAUAUUCUUCUACAGCAGUGAGGAGUUGCUUCUAGGGUGAAAGCUCCCAUUGGAGUCACUGGGAUGCCAUUGCAACCCUGCAACCUUCCCAGCCUGAACCCCUGGACAUUGCCUACAGCCAAUACCUCUCUCUCCUGACAACAGACAGGGACAGCUCUACAACCAUUCUCCGCUCUGAAGAAGCUACAGAAUUCUGAGACCAUCACUUCUAUUCCCUUAGCUAUUUGGAGAGGGGGGAGAUGGCAUGGGCACUGCACCCCCAGAAACUCAGGCAGACUCUUAUGGGGGGGUUCCUUUUCUCCCUUACACCUUCUGACUCCCAACCCCAAACAUCUGACCCUGGGAGGAUUCUCCUCCUUUGAUUGUCCCAUUGAUUGGAGAUGAAUAAAGACUCACUUCAUCCAUCUGUCCUCCAAAUCAGGAGAACCACCCCAUGCCUUCAGGCAAACCUCCUCCCCAACCCCUUGCCCCAGAGUCAUGUCUUCACUGCUGUAAAAGAAUAUAAAAACUCCAGAAUGGAGGCAUUCUGGGAGCCACCCUCCAUGUUGUGCCACUGGUGCUGUCUUGCUGUCCUCCUGAGGAGCAGCUCUUCUAGCCAUGCUGUUCUACCUAGGAGGCAGGCUUCCACCUAUGCUGCCUCCUGGUCAGAUUCAACAUGACUUUCCAAAUAAAUAAAUUUCUCUUUAUUUUUAAGCCAA